UUCGGUAUCCUGUGUUGCUUACCUAUCGAAAGGAAUCCGAUGGUUUCGUUCGUCCCUUUCCGCCCCCUGCCCUCACGGGUUGUGGGGUGGACAUCAGGCAAGCCUCGUGUUCCCGGCAUGCUUCGCCCAGCCGCGUCGCUGCCUCGGCCCAUGAGCUGCAUUGCCCGUGCUCUCGGAUGCAGAAUGUUAUGUGCGGGUGCGGGGUCUAUUUAUUAGCUCCGUUUGCCCAAGCUACGCAUUUGUCUUACGACACGAACGACUGCCGUGCCCGUCUUGAGCCCGCGGCCGUACGGCCUGCCGGGUCUCAUGCGGGCGUCGG
rnacentral:misc_RNA from 1 species